UUACAGAGUAAAAAACUUUGGCCUUGCAAUAUGUUUUUCCAAUAUUUGCAUUUUAAAAAUAACUGAGUCCUGUUCUAUAGGAUUUUUUCAUUUGAUAUUUUGUGGAUUUAACAAAAGCAAUGAAUGCCAAACAAAUUGUCAUUUGAGGACUUCAUGAAGCCAUUUGAUGAUUCUAUGACAUGCUCAGCCUGUGACAGUGUCUUCAAAGAUCCUGUUCAAUCAAAUCACCAUACGUACUGUACAACAUGUGCAUGGCGAAACAAACGAUUGAAUAAAACUUGCCAAAGAUGCAAAGACGCCGGCAUACCAGCAACCUUCCAAUGUUUUAAACUAGGAAGGUUCAAAUUCGACAGAAAAACACAACAAAAGAUUCCAAGUACAAGAGUGCAGUGUAAACUUUGCAGCAGACGUGCAACUUUUUCAACAAUGAAGGUCUGUAUCUA